rnacentral:rRNA from 1 species
AGUGUGUUUCGACACACUAUCAUUAACUGAAUCCAUAGGUUAAUGAGGCGAACCGGGGGAACUGAAACAUCUAAGUACCCCGAGGAAAAGAAAUCAACCGAGAUUCCCCCAGUAGCGGCGAGCGAACGGGGAGGAGCCCAGAGCCUGAAUCAGUGUGUGUGUUAGUGGAAGCGUCUGGAAAGGCGCGCGAUACAGGGUGACAGCCCCGUACACAAAAAUGCACAUACUGUGAGCUCGAUGAGUAGGGCGGGACACGUGGUAUCCUGUCUGAAUAUGGGGGGACCAUCCUCCAAGGCUAAAUACUCCUGACUGACCGAUAGUGAACCAGUACCGUGAGGGAAAGGCGAAAAGAACCCCGGCGAGGGGAGUGAAAAAGAACCUGAAACCGUGUACGUACAAGCAGUGGGAGCCUCUUUUAUGGGGUGACUGCGUACCUUUUGUAUAAUGGGUCAGCGACUUAUAUUCUGUAGCAAGGUUAACCGAAUAGGGGAGCCGAAGGGAAACCGAGUCUUAACUGGGCGUUAAGUUGCAGGGUAUAGACCCGAAACCCGGUGAUCUAGCCAUGGGCAGGUUGAAGGUUGGGUAACACUAACUGGAGGACCGAACCGACUAAUGUUGAAAAAUUAGCGGAUGACUUGUGGCUGGGGGUGAAAGGCCAAUCAAACCGGGAGAUAGCUGGUUCUCCCCGAAAGCUAUUUAGGUAGCGCCUCGUGAAUUCAUCUCCGGGGGUAGAGCACUGUUUCGGCAAGGGGGUCAUCCCGACUUACCAACCCGAUGCAAACUGCGAAUACCGGAGAAUGUUAUCACGGGAGACACACGGCGGGUGCUAACGUCCGUCGUGAAGAGGGAAACAACCCAGACCGCCAGCUAAGGUCCCAAAGUCAUGGUUAAGUGGGAAACGAUGUGGGAAGGCCCAGACAGCCAGGAUGUUGGCUUAGAAGCAGCCAUCAUUUAAAGAAAGCGUAAUAGCUCACUGGUCGAGUCGGCCUGCGCGGAAGAUGUAACGGGGCUAAACCAUGCACCGAAGCUGCGGCAGCGACGCUUAUGCGUUGUUGGGUAGGGGAGCGUUCUGUAAGCCUGUGAAGGUGUACUGUGAGGUAUGCUGGAGGUAUCAGAAGUGCGAAUGCUGACAUAAGUAACGAUAAAGCGGGUGAAAAGCCCGCUCGCCGGAAGACCAAGGGUUCCUGUCCAACGUUAAUCGGGGCAGGGUGAGUCGACCCCUAAGGCGAGGCCGAAAGGCGUAGUCGAUGGGAAACAGGUUAAUAUUCCUGUACUUGGUGUUACUGCGAAGGGGGGACGGAGAAGGCUAUGUUGGCCGGGCGACGGUUGUCCCGGUUUAAGCGUGUAGGCUGGUUUUCCAGGCAAAUCCGGAAAAUCAAGGCUGAGGCGUGAUGACGAGGCACUACGGUGCUGAAGC